AAAAAAUUAGUUAAACCCAAUAACAUUAGUAUGUCAAACUGAAAUUAUCUAAUUAUAUAGAUAUUUUUUU
rnacentral:tRNA from 1 species